rnacentral:rRNA from 1 species
UACGGAGGAUCCAAGCGUUAUCCGGAAUUACUGGGCGUAAAGAGUUGCGUAGGUGGCAUAGUAAGCAAGUAGUGAAAGCGUUCGGCUCAACCGAAUAUCCAUUACUUGAACUGCUAAGCUAGAGGAUGAGAGAGGUUAUUGGAAUUCCCAGUGUAGGAGUGAAAUCCGUAGAUAUUGGGAGGAACACCGAUGGCGUAGGCAGAUAACUGGCUCAUUCCUGACACUAAGGCACGAAAGCGUGGGUAGCAAACGGG